AUAACCUGCAUUUUCAGUGUGUGAAACCGCAUGGAAAGUUUACAUUCAUUUUUUGGUAUGGAACUUGUAGGUAAAAAAGAAAAAAAUGUUUCCUGUUUUUACCUAAGAAAUCACCAUUAGACUCCAUAAAGCACUAUUCCUCUGGGAACUACCGAGGUCUCUAGAAGAUAACGGAUAGAACGAGGGGAAGAACUACAAGGAAAAAAAAGUGGAUAGCAAAGAAAAAAUACGCCACAGAACUUUCCAGGUCAAAAACCCUAAAAGUGAACAAGAAAAAUAAAAGAAACAGGAAGAAAUAAAAGAAAAUCUGCCUUUAGGUUAACCCAAGAAUCAUCUUUGUACUUCUGCAGAAAUUAUAAAAAUAAUAAUUAUUACAGGUCUCGCUCCAUUGACCAGGCUGGAGUGCAGUGGCGUGAUCUUGGCUCACUGCAACCUCC